rnacentral:rRNA from 1 species
GGGCCCGCACAAGCGGUGGAACAUGUGGUUUAAUUCGAUGAUACGCGAAGAACCUCACCAAGGCUUGACAUAUAAGUAGUAGUGAACCGAAAGGGGAACGAGUCGUCAAGUCCGACAACUUAUACAGGUGCUGCAUGGCUGUCGUCAGCUCGUGUCGUGAGAUGUUGGGUUAAGUCCCGCAACGAGCGCAACCAUUGUCCUAUGUUGCCACUUCACCAAUUUCUGCUUGCAGAAUGGUGGAAGCACUCUUAGGAGACUGCCCGGGAUAACCGGGAGGAAGGUGGAGAUGACGUCAAGUCAGUACGGCCCUUAUGCCUUGGGCGACACACGUGUUACAAUGGCUGAUACAAAGGGUUGCGAACCUGCGAAGGGGAGCUAAUCUCUAAAAGUCAGCCUCAGUUCGGAUUGGAGUCUGCAAUUCGACUCCAUGAAGCCGGAAUCGCUAGUAAUGGGAGAUCAGAACGCUCCCAUGAAUACGUUCCCGGGCCUU